AGAGUUUGAUCCUGGCUCAGGACGAACGCUGGCGGCGCGCCUAACACAUGCAAGUCGAACGAGCGAGAGAGAGCUUGCUUUCUCGAGCGAGUGGCGAACGGGUGAGUAACGCGUGAGGAACCUGCCUCAAAGAGGGGGACAACAGUUGGAAACGACUGCUAAUACCGCAUAAGCCCACGGGUCGGCAUCGACCAGAGGGAAAAGGAGCAAUCCGCUUUGAGAUGGCCUCGCGUCCGAUUAGCUAGUUGGUGAGGUAACGGCCCACCAAGGCAACGAUCGGUAGCCGGACUGAGAGGUUGAACGGCCACAUUGGGACUGAGACACGGCCCAGACUCCUACGGGAGGCAGCAGUGGGGAAUAUUGCACAAUGGGGGAAACCCUGAUGCAGCGACGCCGCGUGGAGGAAGAAGGUCUUCGGAUUGUAAACUCCUGUUGUUGGGGAAGAUAAUGACGGUACCCAACAAGGAAGUGACGGCUAACUACGUGCCAGCAGCCGCGGUAAAACGUAGGUCACAAGCGUUGUCCGGAAUUACUGGGUGUAAAGGGAGCGCAGGCGGGAAGACAAGUUGGAAGUGAAAUCUAUGGGCUCAACCCAUAAACUGCUUUCAAAACUGUUUUUCUUGAGUAGUGCAGAGGUAGGCGGAAUUCCCGGUGUAGCGGUGGAAUGCGUAGAUAUCGGGAGGAACACCAGUGGCGAAGGCGGCCUACUGGGCACCAACUGACGCUGAGGCUCGAAAGUGUGGGUAGCAAACAGGAUUAGAUACCCUGGUAGUCCACACCGUAAACGAUGAUUACUAGGUGUUGGAGGAUUGACCCCUUCAGUGCCGCAGUUAACACAAUAAGUAAUCCACCUGGGGAGUACGACCGCAAGGUUGAAACUCAAAGGAAUUGACGGGGGCCCGCACAAGCAGUGGAGUAUGUGGUUUAAUUCGACGCAACGCGAAGAACCUUACCAAGUCUUGACAUCCCUUGACAGACAUAGAAAUAUGUAAUCUCUUCGGAGCAAGGAGACAGGUGGUGCAUGGUUGUCGUCAGCUCGUGUCGUGAGAUGUUGGGUUAAGUCCCGCAACGAGCGCAACCCUUAUGGUCAGUUACUACGCAAGAGGACUCUGGCCAGACUGCCGUUGACAAAACGAAGGAAGGUGGGGAUGACGUCAAAUCAUCAUGCCCUUUAUGACUUGGGCUACACACGUACUACAAUGGCGUUAAACAAAGAGAAGCAAGACCGCGAGGUGGAGCAAAACUCAGAAACAGCGUCCCAGUUCGGACUGCAGGCUGCAACUCGCCUGCACGAAGUCGGAAUUGCUAGUAAUCGUGGAUCAGCAUGCCACGGUGAAUACGUUCCCGGGCCUUGUACACACCGCCCGUCA
rnacentral:rRNA from 1 species